CAUUAGCAAUAAUAAUUUAUUGAGUGUCUCUUUUUCAUGAGACAUAAGGAUGUUGAAAUAUAAUUUAGGAAAGAUUAAGAUUAAAGUGACUCAGAUUCAAGAAAGGAUUUCAACUGUGAUGUAGAUGCAAAAAUAUAUAGAGAACAAGGAAAAAUUGAAUAGACUUUGAAGUGUGCUCUGAUUAUAUUUCAGUCUGAACCUGGACAACUGGUUGUUAUUCUUGUUUCUGUGUCCUAUAUCUACUAUUUAGGCCUACCUAAAUUCUCUUCUCCUUUCUAGUAGACUUUGAAGAAAGAAAGAAAGAGAAGAAAGAAAGAAAGAAAGAAAGAAAGAAAGAAAGAAAGAAAGAAAGAAAGAAAGAAAGAAAAAGAGAAAAAGGAAAGAAAGAAAGAAGAAAGAGGAAGGAAGGAAGAAAGAAAGAAAAGAAAAGAAAGAAUUCUUUUUCAUUUUACUUUCCCUGAAUCCUUCCCCAGGGAGAAGCUACACUAUUGAAAGUCAACUUCUGAGAAUUUCCUGUCUUCAGAAAUCAUGUGAGGCAUCUUAGCGAUGACAUAAUUGAUAUCUCUGAACUGAGAAAUGAUGAAAGUGGGGAAAGAAGAAUAAAAUAACUCACAUGAAACUGAUAUGAAGAUGAAUUCAUCACAGCAUCUAUAUAGAACCAAGGGUUUUGCCCUUACCCGAGUUCUUCAAAUGUUUCAUAAAGCUUAAAAGUUCUGAGGGUAGG
rnacentral:lncRNA from 1 species